AACUGAAAAAACCCUAUUUUCCCUAGCAUAUGAAAUCAAAAUCAGUGACCAUAGAGAUGACAAAGGCAUCUUGUUCAGUAACAUAGAAGAUUAUGGAAAGAUAACCACUAUUACAUUCAAAGUGAGAGGUCUAAGUGUUUGAAAUGAUGAAUGGAAAGCAAAGCUCCUGUGGAGCACUCUGCCUACAGAAACAGUUCCAACACUGGAACAAAGUGACAUUGCAAAACAGAAGUGGGCCGUUUGGUAGAUCAGCAGUUUCUCCUGUAGUGCAAGCAGAAGCAGAUGAUCCUGGGGGUGUGAGAAGGGAGAAGAAAAGACCCUCAGUCAUCUCAACAAUCCACCUCAACAGUUGCAACAAGAUAAGACUCUAUUUUGCUGUGUUCAUCUUGUGCCUCCAUACUACCUUCUGUAAUUGUGUUUCCUGCUGCUUUUUCUCUC